rnacentral:Y_RNA from 15 species
GGCUGGUCCGAGUGCAGUGGGGUCACAACUAAUGAUCACAGCCAGUUACAGGUUCCUUUGUUCUUUCUCCACCUCCACUGCUUCACUUGACCGGUCUUAA